UCGGUUUCUAUCUAUGAUAAACUUAUACCCAGUACGAAAGGACCGGCAUAAGAAAGCCAAUGCUAAAAGCACGCCUUUACAUAAUCAUCAACCAAAUAACCCCCAUCUUUUUUAAACCAAGACAAGGUUAAUUAAGGACACAGCCCUUA
rnacentral:rRNA from 1 species